GGGCGGUUCCCCCUUCGGGGGGACAGGGUGACAGGUGGUGCAUGGUUGUCGUCAGCUCGUGUCGUGAGAUGUUGGGUUAAGUCCCGCAACGAGCGCAACCCUCGACCUUAGUUGCCAGCAUUCAGUUGGGCACUCUAAGGUGACUGCCGGCUAAAAGUCGGAGGAAGGUGGGGAUGACGUCAAAUCAUCAUGCCCCUUAUGACCUGGGCUACACACGUGCUACAAUGGGCGGUACAAAGGGUCGCGAACCCGCGAGGGGGAGCCAAUCCCAAAAAGCCGCUCUCAGUUCGGAUUGCAGGCUGCAACUCGCCUGCAUGAAGCCGGAAUCGCUAGUAAUCGCGGAUCAGCAUGCCGCGGUGAAUACGUUCCCGGGCCUU
rnacentral:rRNA from 1 species